CCCCCCCCCCCCCCCCAGUCGUACGAAUGAAGGAAUUUUUUCCUAGUUGAAGACCGGAUGGUAGUAUUUUAAUUGCAGUGGUAAUAAAAAAAAUUGCACGAGAAGUGAAUAAGUUCCGUAUAAGGUAAAAACAUGGGAAUAGAUACCCGUCUAUUCUUGACAUAAAUGACGUCGAAUAUUACGACCUAUAGGUUAAAAUUCAAAGAUCUUGGCGGUGUCUUAUAUAAUCAGGGGAACCUGUCUCAUAACUCGAUAAUCCACGAAAUUGCAACCAUAUUUUGAUUUCAGCCUGUGUACUGCCGUCGUAAGUAUACCUCUAAAAGAAAGUAUACAAACAUAAUAAAAAUUACAUACGUCAGGUCAAAGUGCAGCCAAUAAUAUGGAGAUGAUGGGUUACAACAUAAAAAAAUAUCACGAACUGAGGAAAUAGUAGCCUCAUGAAGGAGGACUUGACAGUAAUUAACUGAAUAUGUUAAUGAAAAAGUAUCUAAGACAUGCACACAUCGCCCUCAUUCCCCCCGUU
rnacentral:rRNA from 1 species